rnacentral:snRNA from 13 species
ACACUUACCUGGCAAAGGGAGACGGGCGGUUGGGUUUUCCCAUCCGCUUCUUGCACCCUGGUCAUGCUGACCCCGCUGAUUUACCAACACGUGGGAAACCGGACUGCGGAAUUUGAGGUAGCAGGGACUGUGUUCACGUUGUCUCCUG